CUUUUUUUAGGUCAAGAGAUUCGUUGCGAGAUCACGAAUCAUAUUACAGGUCUCAUGGUAUAUCUCAGUAUAGAAGAUGGAAUUAGUGAUAUUUUUUUGUUUAUAAACUCCCCAGGCGGAUGGCUAAUCUCAGGAAUGGCUAUUUUUGAUACGAUGCAAACGGUGACACCGGAUAUAUAUACAAUAUGCCUCGGAAUAGCUGCGUCCAUGGCGUCCUUCAUUCUGCUUGGAGGAGAACCCACCAAGCGUAUAGCAUUCCCUCACGCGAGGAUUAUGCUUCACCAACCUGCUAGUGCUUAUUAUCGAGCAAGGACACCAGAAUUUUUACUAGAAGUGGAAGAGUUACACAAAGUUCGCGAAAUGAUCACAAGGGUUUAUGCACUAAGAACAGGCAAGCCUUUUUGGGUUGUAUCCGAAGACAUGGAAAGGGAUGUUUUUAUGUCAGCAGACGAAGCCAAAGCUUAUGGGCUUGUCGAUAUUGUAGGGGAUGAAAUGAUUCACGAGCACUGCGAUACUGAUCCAGUGUGGUUUCCAGAAAUGUUUAAGGAUUGGUAGUGCCCGGAUUUCUUGUAAAGUUAUUUCACACCUAAAUUCGGGUUUUCUUCGAUUUAAUAGAAAAUAGAAAGACUUCAUGAUGAUCAAUCAUCAGGUUAAGAUGGAUCUAAACCAAUCUACUUUUUUCUAUAUACAUACAACAUGCCAACGGUUAAACAACUUAUUAGAAACGCAAGACAGCCAAUACGAACUGCUAGAAAAACAGCCGCGCUUAAAGGAUGUCCUCAGCGUCGAGGAACAUGUGCUAGGGUGUAUGUGCGACUCGUUCAGAUCAUGACUUCAAAAAAAUAAAAAAAAUUUGAAGUAGCCAUGAUUGGUACCAAUGAAUAGGAUAUAGCUUCUCUAUCCUAGAUUUCUAUGAUAUAUGGAAUUUGUGGUUUCCUUUGGUGCAAAUCCAGUUAUCUAAAUUGGAAAUAAGAAGCAAUUCCUCCAUUGGUAGCAAAUAGUUAUCCAUUAAGCGGAGGAAAAAGUAAUAAAAAGAAAAAGGCUUAUGUUCCUUUAUCUUAAAAGAACGGACUAACAGGGUCAGCUACUUAGCUAACUUUCAUAAUUAAAUGCCGUCACUGUAUGGAUAACUCUUAUUUUGAAAAGAGCUAUUUACUCUAUAAUGGAUAGGUAGAGCCAAAGAAUGUGAACUAUACAAGUUCACAAUACCUUUUGAUAAAAGAAGGGGCUCCGGUGUAUAGAGAGGGCCUCGCCGUUUAAAAGGGAACCAUAGAAACGAUGGAACCCACUAUUUUUAUAGUAUCAUUAGAAUUAAUUUGUUAUUUCGCAUAGAAAUAACUGAAGGGAGUAGAAAAAAAAUCGUGGUUGGGAAGGUUACUAUAGCAAAAGCCAUUAGAAUUAAUAUUUUAUAUAUCGGAAUAAUUCGUUUUGUUAUUAAUGGGGAAAAGGAUGGCUAAAAGAAGAGAAAUCAUUAGUUAUUCAUUAAGGUUAAUUUGAUUCAAUGACCAGAGUUCCGCGAGGAUAUAUAGCCCGGAGACGACGAACAAAAAUGCGUUCAUUUACCUCAAAUUUUAGAGGGGCUCAUUUAAGACUUAAUCGAAUGAUUACCCAACAGGUAAAAAGAGCUUUUGUUUCCUCUCAUCGAGAUAGAGGUAGGCAAAAGAGGGAUUUUCGCCGUUUGUGGAUCACUCGGAUAAACGCAGCAACGCGGAUAUUUAAAGUAUUCGAUAGUUAUAGUAAAUUAAUACACAACCUAUAUAAGAAGAAAUUGAUUCUUAACCGUAAAAUGCUUGCACAAGUCGCUGUAUCAAAUCCAAAUAACCUUUACACGAUUUCCAAGAAAAUCAAGAUCAUCAAUUAAAAGGAUAAAUAAAGUAAUAUACUGGAAUAAUAAAAACCGAAUUCCCGGAGAGGGGACUCCGGGAAGACACAAUAAUUUAAGAUUAAGUGGUAGGAAUCAACGAGCUGGAUUACUUUCUUUAUAAUAUAUAUAGGCCUGGCCCUUUCGAAUAAAACAUCAACAAUCGGAACUUUGUUUCUUAAAUUUUGGUUAUAGUUUCUUACGUUUCGAUUGGAACUGUACUUUUGCGUUAAUUGAGGAAUAUGUCUAUUUUUUCUGGGUCUAGAACCUGUAAUUAUUGAAAUUGACUGGGCUUGAAAUUGCUUUUCGUUCUCAUAGUUACGAAAUGGUAAGAAAGAUAAAAUACGAGCCUGUUUUAUAGCAAGAGUAAUUAAUCGUUGUUGUUUCAAGGUUAAUCGAUUUAUUCGUCUCGAUAAUAUUUUUCCCUGUUCACUAAUAAAUCGAUUAAUCAAACUCAUGUUUCUAUAAUCAAUUCGAUCUCCCGGGCCAAUCCGAGGACGCCUACGAAAAGGUUGUUUGGAUUUACGAAAAGUUUGCUUGGAUUUACAAAAGGGUUGCUUGGAUUUAUUAAAAGUUUGCUUGGAUUUACGAAAGGGUUGCUUAGAUUUAAGAAAAGGUUGUUUAGAUGUAUACAUGAUUUAUUCCUUAUUUAAAAUUUUAAAAUUAAUAAAAGAAAUUUCAUUUCUUUAUUUUAUUAAUUUAGGAUCGAGAAGAAGUAGUCUUUCUUUGAUCCAUAUCUUAAUCUUAUUUGAUUCAUAUUCUUAAUCUUAUUUGAUUCAUAUUAUAGUAUAUGAAUACCCUCUAGACAUAUGAAAUAAUAUCUACCUAAAAUAAUAUGAGUUGAUUUUUAUUUUGUAUUGUAUCUAUGUUUUAUUUAUAUAUUAAAUAAAAUAGUAAGUUCUUACUCUUUCUGUUCUUUGGAAAGAUCGAACACACGAUCUUCCUAUUUCUUUAUUUCGUGAUGAGUCGUGUGCUUGCGACAAUAACGACAAAAAAUUUUGAAUUCUAAUUGUCCGGGUGUAUUGUGGCGAUUCUUUUCAGUACUAUAUCUAGAAAUUCCCGUCGAUUCCUAAUUGGCACCUUUUCGAACACAACUGAUGCAUUCCAAAAUAACUCUGAUUCUAACAUCUUUCCCCUUGGCCAUGAACCUUCUUUUCUUUUUGGUUGGAUUGACUUAACUUAAUUCUUCUACUUAUUUAUUCUUUUAUUCUUCUAUUUUGAAUCCGAAGAAGAAGAAUAAAAUCCAUUAGAAUAUAAUUUUUUUGAAAUUCUUAAAUUAAGUAAUAAAAAAUAGAGAAAUAAUUAAAGAAUACAAUCCUUGUCGAAUUAGCAAAGAUUUUGUUUCGAAAUCCUUUCAUUUAAUUAGUCAGCCGGGCCUUUUUCUAUGCUCUGAUUUCUUUGGAUAUCGCUUUUAAUUGAAUUUCCGUUUUCCAAAAUGGGAUUUACCAAAAAUUUUCAUGACUCUGAGGUUCAGCCCAAUCCAGCAUUUCGUUCUUUUUCCUUCCGAUACUAAAAAAGGAUUGAAAAGGGUAAAAAUUUCUUCAUGUCAUGAAGAAUUCGAUUUCUCGCAUAGCAAUAACUAGAAUUAAAAAAAAGGGAACGACAAAGCAUCUGGGAAUAAACGAUUAAUUUCUAUCAAUAAACCUGCUAAAGCAGCAAACCAUAGAGUACUUAGCACAGGUGCUACAGAGAGAUAUGUUUUUAUAUUCCGCAUUGAAAAUCCUCCUUCCUUAUUGGAAUACGUAUAUGAUCAGAAACUCUUGCCCAAGAACGUUAUGCUAUAUAUAAAAUGAACCAUAUAGACGAAAUUUCCCUAUCCCUAAAAAAGAAAAAGAUGACACCCUUCUUCCUACACAUUACCAUAGUAAUCUUUCUUUUAUAGGAAAAAUUCGAUUGGAUUUUAAAUGUAUAUCAUUCCUUGAUUAUAUGAGAUGAGACCAAAAAGAAGAAAUGACGGGAGGGUUCUAUAUAGAUAGAGAAAGAAGAAGAAAAUUACGAUAUGGAAAAGAAGACAGGAAUUGUGUACAAUGGCAUUGUACAACAAUUUGGAAAAGGGAUGUAGCGCAGCUUGGUAGCGCGUUUGUUUUGGGUACAAAAUGUCACAGGUUCAAAUCCUGUCAUCCCUACCUAUUACUUAUUUCUUCUUUAUGGGCAGUAGCGAAGAGAUUGAUUAAAGGUAAAGUGGGUAUAACUUGAAUUUGUGCAGACUAUACGUACGUGAGAUACGUUAGGAGUUGAAAAGAAUUUUCUUUUUGAAUGAAUGACAGUGCUCUUAGUUCAGUUCGGUAGAACGCGGGUCUCCAAAACCCGAUGUCGUAGGUUCAAAUCCUACAGAGCGUGAUUCCAUCUAUCUUAUGUCGAACCAGAGUAAAGUAACUUAACAAAAGAAAGUUGAAUUGCAACUCCAAUUUACUUUAUUUUUAUUCCAUAUGGAAUACAAUCAGUUAAAAUAAGAAAGAAACCUCUUCCUUAAAUUUACUUUAUUUUUAUUCCUUUUUCGAAAACGAGUCGCUUCAAUUAUCCUUUGAAGUUCUAUCUUCUGUCUUUCCCUAUUUCAUCUCGUAAAGUUCCACGCUCGCAAUUUAGUCAAGAAAGUUAGACCUAAUCCAACAAACAAGACAAGGAUUAAUCACAAAUCUUGAUUCUUCAAAUAAUGUUUUCUUUCUUUCAUAACAGAUUAUCCACUAUUCGAUUUUCUAUUUAUUAGAUAUUAUGUUAACCAAUUAAAUUAUUUAUAAAUUAUUUAAAAGGAAAGAUUGGAUUCGAAGAAAACUUUUCACCAAAAAAGGAUAGAUUUCACAUAUACUUGUCCUUGUAUUGUGUAAGUAUGAGAAUAUCUUUCCUAAAUUCUUUAUCCAAAGCUAUUGAUCAUUAACUUCAACUUCUAUUUUCCCAAGAUUUUGGCCGCUAUUCCGAAUUCUUCUACUAUUCCGAAGCCAAUGAAAAUAAGUAGGACUCCAAAAAAGUGGGUUUUCUAUUGAUGCCUUGAACAACAUAUAGCUUACCUAUAGACAAAGAACAAAGAAGAUAAAAAAGGAAUUAUGUUUCGGAACCAAGCAAAACUGGAUUGCUGUGCCAUAGGAAGGAUAGCUAUACUAAUUCGGUAUACUCAAAAUACACCUUUGGUACAAAAUUGACAAUCUCACAAGGAUGAAAUACCAGUAAUUUUUUAUUUACUGGUUGAUCCCAUCUUUUACAGAAUCAAUUCCUUUUUUGAAUGUACAAAAAUUUGGGGAGCUCAGCAUGUCUGGAAGCACGGGAGAACGUUCUUUUGCUGAUAUUAUUACCAGUAUUCGAUACUGGGUUAUUCAUAGCAUUACUAUACCUUCCCUAUUCAUUGCGGGUUGGUUAUUUGUCAGUACGGGUUUAGCUUAUGACGUGUUUGGAAGUCCUCGGCCAAACGAGUAUUUCACGGAAAGCCGACAAGGAAUUCCUUUAAUAACCGACCGUUUUGAUUCUUUAGAACAACUCGAUGAAUUUAGUAGAUCUUUUUAGGAGGCCCUCAAUGACCAUAGAUCGAACCUAUCCUAUUUUUACAGUGCGAUGGCUGGCUAUUCACGGACUAGCUGUACCUACUGUUUUUUUCUUGGGAUCAAUAUCAGCAAUGCAGUUCAUCCAACGAUAAACUAAAUUCCAACUAUAGAACUAUGACACAAUCAAACCCGAAUGAACAAAAUGUUGAAUUGAAUCGUACCAGUCUAUACUGGGGUUUAUUACUCAUUUUUGUACUUGCUGUUUUGUUUUCCAAUUACUUCUUCAAUUGAGAGAAAAGAAGAGAGUAGUAAGAACUCUCUUAUCCCAUUUGGAAGGAUACCAUCCUUAUAACAUAACUAUCCAUGACUGUUUUUGUCUCUAGCAUGACCACUUGAUAAAAUGUGGAGGAAAGUAGGGGAAAUGGCCGAUACUACUGGAAGAAUUCCUCUUUGGCUGAUAGGUACGGUGACUGGUAUUCCUGUGAUUGGUUUAGUAGGUGUUUUCUUUUAUGGUUCAUAUUCUGGAUUGGGUUCAUCUCUAUAGUAAUCGGAGGGAUCGGAUUGGAAACAUGAAAAAGUAGGAGCUUAGCGGGUCCUUACCCCCCCUUUUUUUUAUCUGAUUAGAGCGGAAAGGACCCGCGGAAUUCUUACUCUUAUAACGCGACUUUAAUCUAUUCGAUUCACUCUUAUGAAGCAAUAAGAAAAAGAGAUCAAUCGAGGAUCCAUUACAAUAUUUUAUUCCACGAAGGGAGUCUCCUGGAAAUCAUUGAUUUAGCUUAGAGUAAUAAACUAAUAAAACCUUAAUCAAAACUACUCAACUAGCCUAAAAAAAACCACCCUUCAACGGAAAAGUUUACGUUUUUUUUGCAAAAUUUCUGUAAGUUCUAAAUUGAACUUAAUCGAACAACUCAAGCAAUUCUAUUUGCUCACAAUCACAAUAAAUUUGUCCCCCGCCAUAUUCCCUUCCCCUCUGUUUGUGCACUACCUCCCCUGAACCUAAGCAAAAGAGGGCCAAGAGACAGACCCGAAUAAAGAAGAAAUUGUAACCUUUGACGAAUAGAAAGAAAAAGGAUUCUUAUUUCGAGACAAGAAAAGAAGAAUCGGCACAAGAAAAAGGCCUUUUUGUCUUUUUCUUGUGCCGAAUAGACGAUUAACAAGACCAGCAAUCCCUUCGAAAAGGGAGAAAUCCUUUUAUUGUUCUCGCCUUUGCCUUGGAUUCUCUUCUUUUGCAUGAGAUAGAAAUAAGGAAUUCCAGACAUCUCGCAAACAAAAAAAAGUCUAAACAAAAAAAGGAUUUCCAAAAUAGAUCAUAGAUAAUUCUAACAAUUGCCAAUAAAUCCCGGCUUUUUACCAAGUUGAUGGUAAGAAAUCCCGGGACCUAGAAAUUCAUUUCGUACAAUUGAACCUUUUCAAACUAUUUCUUUUUGAGAACCAAAAAAACUUGUGCCAAAAUAACGGAUGCGAAGAAGAACAAAAGGCCUUGGACGCGUAAUGGAUCCUGAAGCACUAUUUCUGCAUCCCCCUGACCAAAUCCUCCCACAUUGGGAUUACUUGUUAAUGGUUGAUCAAGCUUGAUGGAUUCCCCCUCUGAAACAAGAAGAUCUGGCCUGGGAGGUAUAAUAUCAAUCAAUUGGCGUCCAUCCGAUGCAUCCACUAUGGAUAUUUCAUACCCCCCUUUUUCUUUACGUAGUAUUUUUUUUACUAUACCUGUUGACGUAGCAUUAUAGACCGUAUUGUUACUCUUGCUACCAUCAGGAUAGAUCUGCCCUCUUCCUCGGUUUCCCCCUACAUAUAUGGGAUAUUUUAAGAAAUGACAGAAAAAAAAAAUAGGCGAGAAAAGAAAAACCCGAGAGAAGCAAAAGUAACUUUCGAAGGUUUAGUUACGGAAGCCCUACCCAACGGAAUGUUCCGCGUUCGUCUAGAGAAUGACACCAUCAUCCUGGGCUAUAUUUCAGGAAAGAUUCGGUCUAGUUCUAUACGAAUACUGAUGGGGGAUAGGGUCAAAAUUGAAGUAAGUCGUUAUGAUUCAAGCAAGGGACGUAUCAUUUAUAGACUUCCCCAUAAGGAUUCGAAGCGUAUCGAAGACUCGAAGGAUAGCGAAGAUUUGAAGGAUUAGGUUUUUCUUUUUUCUAGAAUAAUAAAUGCAAAGUUCAAAAAUUACAGCGAAGAGACUUAUUUUUUCCAAAAGAUUAGAUUCAUGGUUUAAGAAAGGAUACGGAAAUAUGAAAAUAAGAGCUUCCGUUCGUAAAAUUUGUACAAAAUGUCGACUGAUUCGUAGGCGUGGCCGAAUUAGAGUCAUUUGCUCCAACCCGAAACAUAAACAAAGACAGGGAUAAUCUUUCGAAAAAGCACUUUACUUUCUAAAAAGUAAAAAAAAAGAAUACCUGCGGGAAUGUUUAAAUUAAUAAUAAAAUAAUUUGAAAUAAUUAAAGUAAAGGGUAUAUUUUACCCUGAAACGGAUAUCUUUGUAUCUUUUUUUUAUUUUUUUUACUCAUAUUUAUGAGAUUUAUGAGAUAAUAAAAUAUGGCAAAAGCUGUACCAAAAAUAGAAUUUGAUAGUAAUAGAAAUCCAUGUCCUACCGAGACAGAAUUUCGAACUUGCUAUCCUCUUGCCUAAUAGGCAAAGAUUGACCUCUGUAGAAAGACUGAUUCAUUCGGAUCGGAUCGAUAUGAGGACC
rnacentral:lncRNA from 1 species